AACGAACGCUGGCGGCAUGCCUAACACAUGCAAGUCGAACGAGACCUUCGGGUCUAGUGGCGAACGGGUGCGUAACGCGUGGGAACCUGCCCUUAGGUUCGGAAUCACUCCCCGAAAGGGGUGCUAAUACCGGAUCAUGUCUUCGGACCAAAGAUUUAUCGCCUUUGGAUGGGCCCGCGUUGGAUUAGCUAGUUGGUAGGGUAAAAGCCUACCAAGGCGACGAUCCAUAGCUGGUCUGAGAGGAUGAUCUGCCACACUGGGACUGAGACACAGCCCAGACUCCUACGGGAGGCAGCAGUGGGGAAUAUUGGACAAUGGGCGAAAGCCUGAUCCAGCAAUGCCGCGUGAGUGAUGAAGGCCUUAGGGUUGUAAAGCUCUUUUACCCGGGAUGAUAAUGACAGUACCGGGAGAAUAAGCUCCGGCUAACUCCGUG
rnacentral:rRNA from 1 species